rnacentral:rRNA from 1 species
CGCUAAGGCGUCGAAGUAGUGUAUGUCAUACUUCCAAGAAAAGCUUGCACUGUCAUAAGUAAAAAAUGCCUGUACCAUAACCGACACAGGUGGGUAGGUAGAGUAUACUAAGGGGCGCGAGAUAACUCUCUCUAAGGAACUCGGCAAAAUAACUCCGUAACUUCGGGAGAAGGAGUGCCUUAUUCUUAAGGUUGCAAUAACAAGAUCCAAGCAACUGUUUAUCAAAAACACAGGUCUCCGCUAAGUCGCAAGACGAUGUAUGGGGGCUGACGCCUGCCCAGUGCCAGAAGGUUAAAGAAGUUGGUUAGCUUUUGCGAAGCUGAUAACUGAAGCCCUGGUGAACGGCGGCCGUAACGAUAACGGUCCUAAGGUAGCGAAAUUCCUUGUCGGGUAAGUUCCGACCCGCACGAAAGGCGUAAUGAUUUGGAUACUGUCUCGGAGAGGGGCUCGGUGAAAUAGACUUGUCUGUGAAGAUGCGGACUACCUGCACCAGGACAGAAAGACCCUAUGAAGCUUUACUGUAACUUGAAAUUGAAAUUGGACUUUAUUCGCGCAGUAUAGGUGGGAGGCGUUGAUUGUAAUCUUGCGGGAUUAUUGGAGCCAUCAGUGAGAUACCACUCUUGUAAUGUUAGAUUUCUAACUUUGUAUCAUUAUCUGGUCAAAGAACAGUUUCAGGCGGGCAGUUUGACUGGGGCGGUCGCCUCCUAAACGGUAACGGAGGCGUACAAAGGUUUCCUCUGAACGGUUAGAAAUCGUAUCUAGAGUGUAAAGGCAUAAGGAAGCUUGACUGUGAGACCUACAAGUCGAGCAGGGACGAAAGUCGGUCUUAGUGAUCUGACGGUACUGAGUGGAAAGGCCGUCACUCAACGGAUAAAAGUUACUCUAAGGAUAACAGGCUGAUCUCCCCCAAGAGUUCACAUCGACGGGGAGGUUUGGCACCUCGAUGUCGGCUCAUCGCAUCCUGGGGCGGUAGUACGUCCCAAGGGUUGGGCUGUUCGCCCAUGAAAGCGGUACGCGAGCUGGGUUCAGAACGUCGUGAGACAGUUCGGUCCAUAUCCGGUGUAGGCGUUAGAAUAUUGAGAGGAGCCUUCUUUAGUACGAGAGGACCGAGAAGGACAUACCUCUGGUGUACCAGUUAUCGUGCCAACGGUAAACGCUGGGUAGCUAUGUAUGGAGUGGAUAACCGCUGAAAGCAUCUAAGUGGGAAGCCCACCUCAAGAUAAGUAUUCUCA